CCUACGGGGGGCAGCAGUAGGGAAUUUUGCGCAAUGGACGAAAGUCUGACGCAGCAAUACCGUGUGAGGGAUGAAGCAUUUCGGUGUGUAAACCUCUGUCGAUGGCGAAUAAAUGUUCGGGGAGUGGAAAGCCUCGGAUUUGAAGGUAGCCAUGAAGGAAGCACCGGCUAACUCUGUGCCAGCAGCCGCGGUAAUACAGGGGGUGCAAGCGUUGUUCGGAAUUACUGGGCGUAAAGGGAGCGUAGGCGGGAUUGCAAGACAGGGGUUAAAUCUCC
rnacentral:rRNA from 1 species